UGGAAACGGAGCCCAACACUGCAAAUGUCACGAGGAAACACCCCGUUUCUCACUGAUUUCACUAAUGGUUUAAUGUCUUCGAAAAAGUCCGUUAGCAUUUCUACCGUUUUCAGACGACGUAUCGUCAGAAGGCAGUGUCCAAGAUUUCAAUAUUUCUGAAGGGAGCUGCUGACAGAGAUGUAGGAAGCGCUGAAAAGAUUCUUCAGUGCUGAUGGCCUGCUGCAUCCAGCAGAGUCGGAGUGAACCUACUGUAAGACAACAUCUCAAAGAUGCUAUUGACCACAAGACUAGUACAGGUUAUUAGAAACUGCACAGCACAGGACUUGCAGGACUUGUGAGGACUUCAGAUGAUACCAGUACUCAAAAGACCUUAGAUGAUGGCAACUAUAGAUGGACAUACAAACGACCGCCACUGCAAAAAAGGUCAUGUUAAUUUGAAAGAGCUGUGUCACAGUAUCAAGGGCUCCCUUAUCAGUUCUGCUUUCAGUACUGGAG